rnacentral:rRNA from 1 species
ACUAAGCGUACACGGUGGAUGCCCUGGCAGUCAGAGGCGAUGAAGGACGUGCUAAUCUGCGAUAAGCGUCGGUAAGGUGAUAUGAACCGUUAUAACCGGCGAUUUCCGAAUGGGGAAACCCAGUGUGAUUCGUCACACUAUCAUUAACUGAAUCCAUAGGUUAAUGAGGCGAACCGGGGGAACUGAAACAUCUAAGUACCCCGAGGAAAAGAAAUCAACCGAGAUUCCCCCAGUAGCGGCGAGCGAACGGGGAGCAGCCCAGAGCCUGAAUCAGUGUGUGUGUUAGUGGAAGCGUCUGGAAAGGCGCGCGAUACAGGGUGACAGCCCCGUACACAAAAAUGCACAUGCUGUGAGCUCGAUGAGUAGGGCGGGACACGUGGUAUCCUGUCUGAAUAUGGGGGGACCAUCCUCCAAGGCUAAAUACUCCUGACUGACCGAUAGUGAACCAGUACCGUGAGGGAAAGGCGAAAAGAACCCCGGCGAGGGGAGUGAAAAAGAACCUGAAACCGUGUACGUACAAGCAGUGGGAGCACAGAGCAAUCUGUGUGACUGCGUACCUUUUGUAUAAUGGGUCAGCGACUUAUAUUCUGUAGCAAGGUUAACCGAAUAGGGGAGCCGAAGGGAAACCGAGUCUUAACUGGGCGUUAAGUUGCAGGGUAUAGACCCGAAACCCGGUGAUCUAGCCAUGGGCAGGUUGAAGGUUGGGUAACACUAACUGGAGGACCGAACCGACUAAUGUUGAAAAAUUAGCGGAUGACUUGUGGCUGGGGGUGAAAGGCCAAUCAAACCGGGAGAUAGCUGGUUCUCCCCGAAAGCUAUUUAGGUAGCGCCUCGUGAAUUCAUCUCCGGGGGUAGAGCACUGUUUCGGCAAGGGGGUCAUCCCGACUUACCAACCCGAUGCAAACUGCGAAUACCGGAGAAUGUUAUCACGGGAGACACACGGCGGGUGCUAACGUCCGUCGUGAAGAGGGAAACAACCCAGACCGCCAGCUAAGGUCCCAAAGUCAUGGUUAAGUGGGAAACGAUGUGGGAAGGCCCAGACAGCCAGGAUGUUGGCUUAGAAGCAGCCAUCAUUUAAAGAAAGCGUAAUAGCUCACUGGUCGAGUCGGCCUGCGCGGAAGAUGUAACGGGGCUAAACCAUGCACCGAAGCUGCGGCAGCGACGCUGAUGCGUUGUUGGGUAGGGGAGCGUUCUGUAAGCCUGCGAAGGUGUGCUGUGAGGCAUGCUGGAGGUAUCAGAAGUGCGAAUGCUGACAUAAGUAACGAUAAAGCGGGUGAAAAGCCCGCUCGCCGGAAGACCAAGGGUUCCUGUCCAACGUUAAUCGGGGCAGGGUGAGUCGACCCCUAAGGCGAGGCCGAAAGGCGUAGUCGAUGGGAAACAGGUUAAUAUUCCUGUACUUGGUGUUACUGCGAAGGGGGGACGGAGAAGGCUAUGUUGGCCGGGCGACGGUUGUCCCGGUUUAAGCGUGUAGGCUGGUUUUCCAGGCAAAUCCGGAAAAUCAAGGCUGAGGCGUGAUGACGAGGCACUACGGUGCUGAAGCAACAAAUGCCCUGCUUCCAGGAAAAGCCUCUAAGCAUCAGGUAACAUCAAAUCGUACCCCAAACCGACACAGGUGGUCAGGUAGAGAAUACCAAGGCGCUUGAGAGAACUCGGGUGAAGGAACUAGGCAAAAUGGUGCCGUAACUUCGGGAGAAGGCACGCUGAUAUGUAGGUGAAGUCCCUCGCGGAUGGAGCUGAAAUCAGUCGAAGAUACCAGCUGGCUGCAACUGUUUAUUAAAAACACAGCACUGUGCAAACACGAAAGUGGACGUAUACGGUGUGACGCCUGCCCGGUGCCGGAAGGUUAAUUGAUGGGGUCAGCGCAAGCGAAGCUCUUGAUCGAAGCCCCGGUAAACGGCGGCCGUAACUAUAACGGUCCUAAGGUAGCGAAAUUCCUUGUCGGGUAAGUUCCGACCUGCACGAAUGGCGUAAUGAUGGCCAGGCUGUCUCCACCCGAGACUCAGUGAAAUUGAACUCGCUGUGAAGAUGCAGUGUACCCGCGGCAAGACGGAAAGACCCCGUGAACCUUUACUAUAGCUUGACACUGAACAUUGAGCCUUGAUGUGUAGGAUAGGUGGGAGGCUUUGAAGUGUGGACGCCAGUCUGCAUGGAGCCGGCCUUGAAAUACCACCCUUUAAUGUUUGAUGUUCUAACGUUGACCCGUAAUCCGGGUUGCGGACAGUGUCUGGUGGGUAGUUUGACUGGGGCGGUCUCCUCCUAAAGAGUAACGGAGGAGCACGAAGGUUGGCUAAUCCUGGUCGGACAUCAGGAGGUUAGUGCAAUGGCAUAAGCCAGCUUGACUGCGAGCGUGACGGCGCGAGCAGGUGCGAAAGCAGGUCAUAGUGAUCCGGUGGUUCUGAAUGGAAGGGCCAUCGCUCAACGGAUAAAAGGUACUCCGGGGAUAACAGGCUGAUACCGCCCAAGAGUUCAUAUCGACGGCGGUGUUUGGCACCUCGAUGUCGGCUCAUCACAUCCUGGGGCUGAAGUAGGUCCCAAGGGUAUGGCUGUUCGCCAUUUAAAGUGGUACGCGAGCUGGGUUUAGAACGUCGUGAGACAGUUCGGUCCCUAUCUGCCGUGGGCGCUGGAGAACUGAGGGGGGCUGCUCCUAGUACGAGAGGACCGGAGUGGACGCAUCACUGGUGUUCGGGUUGUCAUGCCAAUGGCACUGCCCGGUAGCUAAAUGCGGAAGAGAUAAGUGCUGAAAGCAUCUAAGCACGAAACUUGCCCCGAGAUGAGUUCUCCCUGACUCCUUGAGAGUCCUGAAGGAACGUUGAAGACGACGACGUUGAUAGGCCGGGUGUGUAAGCGCAGCGAUGCGUUGAGCUAACCGGUACUAAUGAACCGUGAGGCUUAACC